AACGAACGCUGGCGGCAUGCCUAACACAUGCAAGUCGAACGAGACCUUCGGGUCUAGUGGCGCACGGGUGCGUAACGCGUGGGAACCUGCCCUUAGGUUCGGAAUAACUCCCCGAAAGGGGUGCUAAUACCGGAUAAUGUCUUCGGACCAAAGAUCUAUCGCCUUUGGAUGGGCCCGCGUUGGAUUAGCUAGUUGGUAGGGUAAAAGCCUACCAAGGCGACGAUCCAUAGCUGGUCUGAGAGGAUGAUCAGCCACACUGGGACUGAGACCCGGCCCAGACUCCUCCGGGAGGCAGCAGUGGGGAAUAUUGGACACUGGGCGAAAGCCUGAUCCAGCAAUGCCGCGUGAGUGAUGAAGGCCUUAGGGUUGUAAAGCUCUUUUACCCGGGAUGAUAAUGACAGUACCGGGAGAAUAAGCUCCGGCUAACUCCGU
rnacentral:rRNA from 1 species